AGUCUGCCGGUUAUAUUUCAUAGAUAGAUUAAAUCUGGUGGUAGCGUCUGCUUUGCCUUCCUAUAACCUAGCGGUGGCCCCCUCCAUGUGUCAGCGCUUGUCAUCCUCGGUUCGGUCGUGGGUACAUGGUAGGUUCUAGAUGGGUCACCGUUUGAAUGAUCUUUCUCGACUUUUCCGUGUAUGAUCGUUGUGCAUCUCCUGUCUUUUCACGCCCCGUCUACUCCGGCGCCACCACGAGCCACCGCCGUUUUCUCUCCCCUUGACUCUCAGACCCUGCUCUGCUCUUCUUCAUACCUCGAUCCCCUUCUCGCGAUCCAGUCCCCUCGCCGUGGCACGGCACGGUGGCAAGCGGUACCAGCCGGCUCGUGGACAAGAGCGGUCCCGGUAACCGGCGAAGGAACAUGGGAUGCCUCGACUGCUUUGCAUCCAAAGCUGGAGAUGGAUACGGAGGAGAAGCAGGAGGAGGGGCAUUAACCGGUGGAUAUUGAGGAAGUCAGAUGGACGCCGAGACCAAGGGGGGGCGGACAGCAGGAGCACGAGGUGCCCGGCGGUCGCGGCGGCCGCCUUAACAGCUGAGCUCCCGAAGUUCCGAGGGAUACGUCGCGAUGGGAAGCUCCGCCAGACCUGGCGGACAAGGCCUGGAUCGACACCGGCAAGCCGCUCCAGGCAAGACUCCUCUACCUCAAGAAGAAGGGGCACCGGAAGGCCGCUGUCAGCGCAGGUAAGAUCUCUCUCUCUCCCUGCCUUAGAGGUCCGGGUGCAGGUCCGUCGAAAUCGGCGAGGGAGGGGCCUUCGGCACAGCUGCCGUUGGACGCAUCUUCUCCAUCGAAGUCAGAGAGACGUCAGUCGUCAAUGACGCAAGGGUACCUGAUGCGACGUCGCUGAUGAUUGCCACAGUUGUGCCUCCGCUCCUCCUUACACCACCAGAACGUACGCGAGCGCGUGAGCCAGGGCCAAUGCUAUUUGGGCUUUUUGCACGGUGAGAUUUCUGUUCUGGAGUCUGGACAGUGGUAGUGAAUCCCGAAUCCCCUCUCCUCCAUGGACCUCCAUCUCCAAAUAAAACAUUGGCAGUCUGCUUUUGUACGUUCAAUGGCAACUCUGACUAGCUCCGCAUCUGCUAAUUUAUUUCUCCCCAAUUGAUUCUCGCCUAUUUUUACAGCUCUGUACCGCGCCCACUUACGUUUGAGGUUUGGGUGGUUUUAUUUUUACAAGGCUUUAGCGGUAUAUCUUAUAGCCAUGGAUUUUUUCAAAGCUCUAACAGUAUAUAUCUCUUUCCCUCUACUGUUUCCGGCAUUUUAUUUUUCAGAGACAUGGAAAUGCAUCCUACAAAGAUAUUAGUAUAUAGUAAUCUCAUUCCUUUCUCUUGACUCCUUUCAGGUUUGGAUUAAUUGGGAAAUUCUGAAUUUCGUAACUGAGCCGAAUUUAUAAAAUAAUUAAAUUAUGUAUGGUCCAUCCCACUCCAUUGUCUCCACUUAUCCGUUCCCUUUUAUAUUACACAAAAGUAGUUUCUGAUGUUUACUUUGUUUAUUGUAAGCAUGUAGGAAAUUACAUAACACCGCUCAGAGUUCAGUUUGAAGCUUAUUUGGAAGUGGUUUUCAUUGUCAAUGCACCCUUGGUAAUCUAUAAAGUCUAGCUUUAUUGAGUUCACUUCACUACAACUUAAUAUAUCAUAUCUUCUUACUUUAUGUAUACUCACUGUGUUGUUAUUACUGUAAUGGUGAUUCUUUCAUCCGAGGUUUGAACCAGUUUGGUCCGUCUUCGAAGUCUGUUCAUGUUUUCUCAUUCAGAACAUCAGGGUAUAUAGCAUCAUGUGUCAUGGAUGUGAAGCUUACAGAUGGUUGCUUAUUUUAUGGCCUUCUGCCUAUAGUAUAAUGCAAACGCAUGAGCUGCACACAAAGCUAUCUGAAUAAGUAUAAUUCGAUUGCCGCAACAAGGCAGCAGUGUUUGUCCAGUCGUGCACCGGGUGCUUGACAUAUGCAAUUUAGUCAGUAUUAUUCGUUGCCCUUCAUCAUGGAGAAAAAUUAGAAAUACAUCAAUUGCUCUCCUUACUUUAAUUAUUGAGCUCCUGACUUAAUUUUCCUUGGUCAGUGCUGCUCGCGUCUUUGAUUUUGGGGGCCAACCUACCUACUCCUUGCCCUGAGAAUGUCGUUGGCGGUGCGCUGCUUUUGGGCAUGGCGCCGGUAAGAGAUACCCACGAAAUUGCAGAUUUCCUCAUAUUCAUGAAUCUUUAUUUAGCAUGAAUUGGGUUCUGUGUGCAGGUAUUCCUAUCCUCAUCCAAGCUUAUGUUUUCUUCCAUUUCUCUUUUAGAUUUUGUUCAAAUAUAACUUGGUACUACUAGCUAACGACCAGUUUGUUCUAAUUUGGUACAUUGAAAUCGCCAUGUGUUGAUCAUUGAUAUGUGGUGAAGGUUGUCGUUUAUAACAUUUGUUGACUUCAAAAUCAAAGAAAGCCUUGCUGAUUCUGUUCAUUUGAUGCUGCUAAUUACUCCCUCAUAUAUGAACUGGUAUGAAUUUGAAAAAGAGAACUGGUAUGAAUGGAAUGCACGACAAUUGGGCUUGUGACAUUCAUGAUUUGUCUGCAGUUCUAAGAAACUCAAUUUGCUCAGCUGACUUGUGAUGGAAAUUUCUCCUGUUUGUUGGUACAUAAUUCACUGGUGUACUGCUGUUAUGGAUGGUUAGGUGAGUGUCCUUUUUAUGUUUAAAUAAUGACGGUACUGCAAUAUUGAAACAACUCUUCUAAAUGCAAGUGUUUUUUUUUUGUCUCUCGGACAUGCUCACUCUAUCUGUUAGGCAACAUAUGGCUUUAUUGAUCUUAGAUACUUAUGCACUAUAACAUAUUUUGCCAUGUUAAAGCUGGCAUAUAUAAUCUCAAAUGAUCCCUUUUGUCAAAGGUAUGGUUGGCGCAUUUCCGUGCAGUUCAAUUUCCUGUACAAUCCUUUGAUUAUUCUAAUGUCCACCUUUGAGUUUGUACUGAAGUUAAUUCGAAGUGUUUAUCUUAUUCUCAAGAGCUCGAAACCUAAAUGAAUCCAGUCAGUGUACACAUUUUAUUGGGAAGCCACUACAACAUUCCACUUUGGAGCAAUUGGAAAGAUCUUUGAUAGACCUUAGGUAUUAUAACCGGUUAACUGGUUUUUUUUUACUCUUGGUUCAAGUCUUUGGUACCCUGCAUCUUUACAAGGACAAAAAUUAGGCCAGCGAUGUAUUUGAAGGGCAUAUAGUUACAUAGGAACCCUGCACACAAACUAUAUUGCAACCUUUUCUUGACUUACCCUUUAAUAACGAACAUGAUAGUACCCAAGUUAGAUACAUCAAGGUACCAUAAGAAGAGAAUUUUGAGCUGUACCAAGCAUUGAUAAAUCCUAUCAUAUCAUUCUAAUUCAAUGUUUAGUGCAGCCAAUUUUUUCCGAAUCACCACACAAAGAGGUACUAAAAUAUGAGCUAUGUGCUUUUGCUUUGCUAAUAAGGCAUCACAAAUCUCUCUAACCACAAAGAUAAUCACUCAACUCCAGAAUUUAAAACAGAGAUAGUUUUUUCAUUCCACUCAGCUCAUAUAUGAGGCCAGCAACAAGGGUGGAUGUUCCACAUCCUGAGCAUCAAUAGUCAGGCAAAUUUGAGCAGGCUGCUAAAAGUUCGUUAUUUUGUUACUGUAUAUUGUUCCUUACCUUAUCUCAUCUAAAGGAGAUGUAUUUUCUUUCUAUAUAGAAGAAUACAUGUAUUGUGCCUAGCUAUGGCUAUGUACUCAAAUGUUAGUUGUGUUCCCACAUCAUUUGUCAAGCUUGAAUAGCAGUGAACUUUUUCAAUUGAAAAUCAGUGCAUGUAGAUUGUUGAGUAGAGGUACUUCCACGAUGCAAAACAAAUGCACAUGUGGUAGAUAUGGGAUCCAAACUGAAGAUAAGUUUCAUGCCAUUGUCUCCUGUGAUGAUUCCUGAGAGAUGGUUGAACCAGCAUAGAAAUUUAGAUUCUGUUCGAUUCUCCUAUACUUUGUUACAUGUGGUUGCCGUGACUUCUUAUGUUAUGCGGCUGAUGUGCUAAUGUUUUGGAGGAUUAGCAAUGUAGAAACAAUAUACUGUACAUUAAACGUUGAAUCUAUCUCUUCAUGCUGCUAGGUGUUUUUUUGUGCCAGUCAUUUCAAUACACUGCUGCGAUUUCAAAAUGUUAUCCAGCGAUAGAAGGCCAGCCAACAAAACUCUUGCAGCCUGUAUGUAGUAGCAAUGGUAUUCAUCCAUUGAGAACAAGCAAGUGCGUGCCCCUUUGCCCUAUGCCAGAGCGAUCCACGAUAGCCGCGUUGCGUGCAAGGGCUGGCGGUGCUUCGCUUGAUUUCCUUCUAUUGGCCCAAGUGUCAAGCUGCGGUUGGCUCCGUUAAGAUAGAAAAAAAUUAGAGCGCAUGGAGACGAAAAGGAGGUCGCGUCCUAGGACAGAAAACCUAUCCACAAAUUCGCUCGGGCGCUGCCGCCGCAUCUCGCCUUCUCCUCCCCUUGCGAUUCAGCUCUCCUCGCCGCACCUCUCCGUCGAUCUCCUCUACCCCAUCCCUCACAACUGCUUCUGGAGACACCGGCAUGGAUGUAGGUGGGGAGCGCCAUGGAUGGGGCCGAAACUCGUCGGACUCCGACGACAGAAGGGGCGGCGGGGACGAGCUCUGUAUCCAGGCCUUGGAGCGCAUCCUCCAGGACCAUCCUCUGGAUUACGACUCCCACAUCGAGGUACCCAUCCUAGAUUUUCGAUUCAGGGCAUGCUCUUUCUCAAGUGGACCUUUGUGGUGCUGGUUUUGCCACUGGAAUUUCUUGCUUGAUGUUUUACGUGUACUGCAUGACAUAUGCUCGAUGAAAUGCCUGUGAGAAGCACCACUGGCAUGAGGAAUUGGGGAUCGUCACAUAACCAAUUUAAUUAACUCACUGAUAGGGUAGAUGUAUCAUGUAUGUUCCUAAGCAUAGGUGUCCAAGACUAAAGACUUUGGCUCCUUUCUUGGCAUCUUCAAAUAUGGCCUUUACUAUCAUGGGGCUACUGAUUUAUUUAUUCUCCCAGUUCAAUCCAUACCGCAGAAACCGAAAGAUAUGCCACAUGUUGUAUCCAAUGGACGAAUCAUCACAGGGAGAAGUUCUUCGUUUGAAGCAAAAAUAUACAGUAUGCUCGGCUUCAUUGCAGGACAUAGUAUAGGAACUAUGUACAGUAUGAAGGAAUUGAGCUGCAAUGAGGCUUGAAGUGUAUCACAGAAAGAACUGUGGCAUACACUAACCGCACAAUGCUUCCUCAAGCUCUAGAGAAGAAGAGCUUGGACAUUAUGCAGAAACUUCUAUCUCGACAUGUUGAGAUUAUAGAAACAAUUGAUGAGGAGGAUACUUACGCACAUUAACAGAUUAAUGAUAGGAUUUUGAACACUGAUGACCUUGCAGGACUAAAGAAGUUUUCUGAUAGCGAGGAUCUGCAAUCUGAAUGGCAUAAUGCUAAAAGGAAUAACAAGAUGAAGUUAGUUUCCUUGAUAAGAGACAAGACUACCGACUACGGACAAAUACAACCCUUAAAGCCUUGUGGAAAUCUAAACUUCUCCCUAAGCUGAAAGUGUUCACUUGGUUACUUGUUCAUGACCGGCUAAACACCCGAGAUUUGAUGAACCGCAAGCAGUGACAAUUAGAAUCUGGCGAUGAGUGUGUUCUUUGCAUGUCACAUCACCUAGAAACCAGAGAUCAUUUGUUUUUUGAGUGCUCUUUUGCAAGUCAUUGUUGGAACCUAUUUUUAAUCGAAUUUUGCUUGCUAAUAAAAUGUUUACUGGCCCUUGUUUCAUGGAGGUAGUGGCUUGUGCAGCUUGGAAUAUUUGGAGAGUUCGAAAUGAUUUCAUAUUUCAAGAUCAGGCUUCUUCUUUUGGUCAAUGGAGAGUUGGUUUCUCAAGUGAUCUGAUGCUUCACCAAUUCAAAGUUAAAGGAGCUUUAGUUCAACCACUCAUUGACUGGUUGCUUCAUAUCUUUGUAUAAGUUUUCAUGUAUCUUCUUUUUCACUACUUCCCACCUUGAGGUAACCCCUAUUCUUCUGCACAAUGUGAUUUAUCUUAAUAUAAAAUUUACACCGUAGGGGCUUCCCCUAUGGUAAGGUUGUCGAAAAAAAGAGACAAGACCAGAUAUGUUGUCCUUACAUAACUACACAUGCAAUGUUUGAUGUGCAGGUAUAUUUUGUGCUAGAAAAUAUACGUGUUCUUUUAACUGUUGUUUAACUCAGUUCUUGUGAACUGGACACUUUAGAUAAAAUGAAACAUGAUUAUAAGAGGUAACUGCUGAAUAUCCUUGGAAUCGUUUACAUCAAACCAUUUACUUCAGCCAAGACAGAUGGAAAGUAUGAAUUUGUAGACAGUAAAGGGACUAUGCUAAUGUGUACCAUUGCAACCAUUUACAUAAGCAUUCAGCUUGAGUUCUUGAUACCUGUGUGAUCUUCCCAUAGCUUAUGAAGGGUAUACAUAUAGUGAUACUCUUUUUAGUUUAAUUCUACAUAUUGUUCUGAUUGAUCAUCGCUAAUGUAUAUUGCCUUCUAUUUCCAAAAUUUAUCAAUUCCAGUCUACAACCAUACCUUGCAUGGUAUAGACAAUCAGAUAAAUGCAUAGACUGUACCUGUGGGAUUUGUUGUGACCGGAACUAAUGGUGCAUUAGUAUCUUAUUGAAUUGGCAGCCAGCCACUCCAGCGGUCUGAGGAGAUGCUUGCUAUCCACAUGUCAGUAUACUGAAGUUGGAGUCUGCGGCUCAGUUUAGCCCAUGGCUUUGACGCAGCUUCGCUGAUGGCCUUGCUGAAUAUCUGAAUGAAGCCUCCUCUUCAAAAGGUUUGUUCGCCAGGUAUGUGCUAGAUGUGAACGUGGAGAGGGUGGAGGACAUUCCAGCGGCUACUCGAGGAGGUAUGAGACCUGCAGCACCGGCCCGCCUUGGCUGUGGGUGUAGUUCAGAUUGCAGAGAUAUUAUUCAAGUUAGAAAGAAAGGAUGGAGGCCAAGAGAGAUUGUGAUGGUUGCAAAAUAAGAAGAUUUACAAUGUGUUGCAACAUUAGGUGGAAUUAUUCAGCUUGGGCUUCAGGUAUAGGUGAAAACUGCAAUUUGUGAGAUGGAGUAGAGGAUCACGGGACGAAGUAAAAAAGGCACAAUAGGAGUGCAGUUGUCAAGUUACAUCCUUGUUGUGUUAUAUGUACCGACGAUGUACUAUAUCAACUCUUGACAUGUCCGAUACCAACUUUCUUAUUACACACUAUUGGUCGCACCUUGUCAACUUGCACAUGAGCACUGUGGAAUUUUUUGUAUUGCACUUUAUA